UACAGAGGUGGCAAGCGUUGUUCGGAAUUACUGGGCGUAAAGGGCGCGUAGGCGGUCUUGUAAGUCUUGUGUGAAAUCCCUCGGCUUAACUGAGGAACUGCACGGGAUACUGCGAGACUUGAGAUCGGGAGAGGGAAGCGGAAUUCCGGGUGUAGCGGUGAAAUGCGUAGAUAUCCGGAGGAACACCGGUGGCGAAGGCGGCUUCCUGGACCGACACUGACGCUGAGGCGCGAAAGCUAGGGUAGCAAACGGG
rnacentral:rRNA from 1 species